rnacentral:tRNA from 1 species
CCCCUGGCGGUCCAUCGGUUAGGGCUCCGCACUUUCACCGCCGGGGCCCAGGUUUGAUCCCUGGUCAGGGAA